UUGCUAUUGAUGUUUGUUGCCUUGUGUUCCAGCCUUCUGAUAGUUGACAGAUUCUUUUACACUUUCUCACACUCUUUCUUCUAAACAAUGAUUGUUUUGCAUUCCUCUUUAGAGGAAGAGAGAAUUGAUGGACUGUUGAUGAGACCUAUGGAGUCAGGAGG